rnacentral:rRNA from 1 species
CAGCACCUCAAGUGGUCAGGAUGAUUAUUGGGCCUAAAGCAUCCGUAGCCGGCGCUGUAAGUUUUCGGUUAAAUCUGUACGCUCAACGUACAGGCUGCCGGGAAUACUGCAGCGCUAGGGAGUGGGAGAGGUAGACGGUACUCGGUAGGAAGGGGUAAAAUCCUUUGAUCUAUUGAUGACCACCUGUGGCGAAGGCGGUCCACCAGAACACGUUCGACGGUGAGGGAUGAAAGCUGGGGGAGCAAACCGGAUUAGAUACCCGCGUAGUCC